rnacentral:rRNA from 1 species
CCUACGGGAGGCUGCAGUGAGGAAUAUUGGUCAAUGGCCGUAAGGCUGAACCAGCCAAGUCGCGUGAAGGAAGAAGGAUCUAUGGUUUGUAAACUUCUUUUAUAGGGGAAUAAAGGUAUCCACGUGUGGAUAUUUGCAUGUACCCUAUGAAUAAGCAUAGGCUAACUCCGUGCCAGCAGCCGCGGUAAUACGGAGGAUGCGAGCGUUAUCCGGAUUUAUUGGGUUUAAAGGGUGCGUAGGUUGUUUGUUAAGUCAGCGGUGAAAGUUUGUGGCUCAACCAUAAAAUUGCCGUUGAUACUGGAAGACUUGAGUGUGUUUGAGGUAGGCAGAAUGCGUGGUGUAGCGGUGAAAGGCAUAGAUAUCACGCAGAACUCCGAUUGCGAAGGCAGCUUACUAAGCAAUAACUGACACUGAAGCACGAAAGCGUGGGGAGCAAACAGGAUUAGAUACCCUGGUAGUC